rfam:Synechococcus phage S-SM2, complete genome.
UCACCUUUCACACACGCCUCACCGAGACUAAACAGCGUGUCUAAAAAAUAGUCUCUCAUACCUGACCUGGAGGGUAGGUCAGGAAUAUUUUACUCA